rnacentral:rRNA from 1 species
GUGAAGAAUCAUUCGCAAUGGGCGAAAGCCUGACGAUGCAACGCCGCGUGGAGGAUGAAGGCCUUCGGGUUGUAAACUCCUGUUACGCUGUACGAAUUUCCCUGGGUCAAAUAGCCUCGGGGAAUGACACAAAAGCGAGAGAAAGUCACGGCUAACUUCGUGCCAGCAGCCGCGGUAAGACGAAGGUGGCAAGCGUUGUUCGGAAUUACUGGGCGUAAAGAGUUCGUAGGCGGCUUUGUAAGUCAGGUGUGAAAUCCCCCGGCUCAACCGGGGAAUUGCGCCUGAUACUGCUUAGCUUGAGGGCAGAAGGGGAGAGCGGAAUUCCUGGUGUAGCGGUGAAAUGCGUAGAUAUCAGGAGGAACGCCGGUGGCGAAAGCGGCUCUCUGGUCUGCCUCUGACGCUGAGGAACGAAAGCUAGGGGAGCAAACGGGAUUAGAAACCCGUGUAGUCC